rnacentral:tRNA from 1 species
AGCUCGAUAGCGCAACGGUAGCGCGUCUGUUCUCUAGACGGAAGAUCUCGGUUUGACUCCGAGUCCGGGCUA